rnacentral:rRNA from 1 species
CAAAUGAAUUGACGGGACCCGCACAAGCGGUGGAUGAUGUGGAUUAAUUCGAUGCAACGCGAAAACCUUACCUACCCUUGACAUGUCCGGAAUCCUGCAGAGAUGCGGGAGUGCCCGAAAGGGAAUCGGAACACAGGUGCUGCAUGGCUGUCGUCAGCUCGUGUCGUGAGAUGUUGGGUUAAGUCCCGCAACGAGCGCAACCCUUAUCAUUAGUUGCUACGCAAGGGCACUCUAAUGAGACUGCCGGUGACAAACCGGAGGAAGGUGGGGAUGACGUCAAGUCCUCAUGGCCCUUAUGUCCAGGGCUACACACGUGCUACAAUGGCCGGUACAAAGGGGCGCAAGACCGCGAGGUGGAGCAAAUCCCAAAAAACCGGUCUCAGUUCGGAUUGGAGUCUGCAACUCGACUCCAUGAAGUUGGAAUCGCUAGUAAUCGCGUAUCAGCAUGACGCGGUGAAUACGUUCCCGGGCCUU